GCGGGCGUAGCUCAACUGGUUAGAGCACUACCCUGUCACGGUAGGGGUUGUGGGUUCGAGUCCCAUCGCUCGCG
rnacentral:tRNA from 1 species